rnacentral:rRNA from 1 species
UACGUAGGUGACAAGCGUUGUCCGGAUUUACUGGGCGUAAAGAGCGCGCAGGCGGUCGUUCAAGUCGAGUGUGAAAGCCCCCGGCUCAACUGGGGAGGGUCACUCGAUACUGAUCGACUCGAAGGCAGGAGAGGGUAGUGGAAUUCCCGGUGUAGUGGUGAAAUGCGUAGAUAUCAAGAGGAACACCAGUGGCGAAGGCGAGUCCCUGGACAACUCCUGACACUGAGGCACGAAAGCUAGGGGAGCAAACAGG